CACCACCUGUGACCAACGCGCACCGCCUCAGAAGGCCUGCUGCCCUCGCACAUCUCCUGCCAUCCUCUUCCCCCUUUGUGGUGCAACCUUCUUCCUUGGGCAUGGCAACCACCCUGCUGCUCGCAUGCCCAAAGGUGAACUUCUCCACUCCAACGUAGUGACCUUCCUCCAGCAGCUCAUGCAGGUAGCUGAUUGUUUGAAGUUGCUCGAGCCAUGCUCAAUUUUUGUGGAUGAGUCUGCUCUAGUAGUUGAAGAGAGAAAGAAGGAAUUGAGAACAGAGACCAUGUGCGGUGGUCAAUGGAUAGGAUAAGAACAUAACCUUUUUUAGAGAGAUAAGAUGAAACUUGUGGUUGGAAAAUUUU
rnacentral:lncRNA from 1 species